GUCGUCUUCAGUGUGUGUGUGUGUGGGUGUGUGUGUGUGUGUGUGGGUGUACAAGUGUGUGUGUGUGUCAGUGUGUUUGAAGUAUUUGUUCACGAAGAUAGGUCUGGAUAACUGUAUUUACAAUGCAGUCUUCUGGUUUGUGUGUCAGUGUAUAGAAAAUGACAUUAUUCGUGGAGCGGAGGCGUGCGGGCUGAGCCGGAUCCUGAAUGCUGCACUGACAAUGAAGCUUGGAGGGACUUCAAGGUCACACCGCAGAGAGCUCUGUGAAUGAGAAAGUGAGAGGAAGAAAAAGAGAAGGUGGGGGGAGAACUGUGAGAGCAAAGCGAGCUGGAGGCAAAACGCCGAUUCGCCAUGCGAUGCUUGCAUAUCAAGUUGCUGCCCUGUGUCCAAAUUAAGAAGGCAAGAGAACAUCGCAGUCACCGAGGUACUUGCCUUUCUCCAUUAUACACACUCCCAUUCAUUCUUCUGCACAUUACCAAAAACUAGUUGAACGCAAACAAGUCAAUUGCAGUUUACCUAGUGCUGGUCCAAUUAGCUUGUGCACAAAGGUCCGUCCAAAAAAACAAAAAAACAAAAAAGGAAUCAAUUCAUGGCCUAAUUUGCGACUAAUUUGGACCAUCUGCUUUAGCAGCCAUGGAGUGACAGGUAUUCCCCGUUCCUAUAUUAUCUCGACUAUUUGCUCAGACUAGUGGAGCAGAACACCCCUGUGCAUCUUGCUCGCUCUUUCAAAUCAGCCUGACUCCACUGUUCCGGAUUCCUGCCUUCCUCCCAUCGACCUUCCCACAGGUAACACUCCUGGACUGAACUCAAGGCAAACAAAGCACGCUCUGUCCAGAUUCAUCUGAGAAAAGGGCAGCACUUUCACUGACUAUUCGAGCACCAUGGGCGCUGCAUAAUUGCACUGACUAGAGAAGUUUCACAGCAACGCUGGGUAAGGAAUAAAACACUUCAGGGUGCACUGUAUUAGGAAAAUAAUCACUGACGGUUUGGUGCAUCGUGAAGAACAGGAGUUGAUAAUUUUCCAAUAGCAGCACAUCCUAAAGUCUUUUAUUUCUCUUCCAGUGAUUUCAAACAACAUGUCAUACUUUGAUAACAUUUGGUUAUGACAAGUUAGGGCAUGUACUAAUCAUGAACUAAUGAAGCGCUAACCUUAACUACGAUGUAAGUCUUAUGAACUCAUGUGUGAAUAACGACCACCUUAAGUACAUGUUAGUAAAUGUUUGUUAGUUAAUGUAUUAAUUAACAUGUAGGAUAAAUGAAAUCAAACAUGCACUAUAAGAAACAAUAUAAAUAAAACAUGCAUAAUGCAUGUACACACAAACAUCAUUGGAUGGGGUUGGAUUACUUGAAUAAUUUACACUGACCCUCCACACUCAUAAUAAACAUCAAUAAUUUCAUCUCAGUGCCAUCCAGUGAUGUUUGUAUAUUUAGCUGCAUAUGGCAAAUUAUGUAAACAAUUUGAAAUUAUGCAUGUUUAAUUCAUAUUGUUUCUUAAAAAGCAUGCUUGAUUUAAACUAAUGCGCUUCAUUAGUUUGUGAUAAGUACAUGCCUUAAAUCAUCAUAAGUUCAUAGUUAAGUAAGUAUUAAUUCAGGUAUCAGUGCAUGAUUAUUAAUGUAUUGUUAUUAUAAAGUGUCACCCAUACCUUUGUCAAGUUACAGUUUUACUUAAUGUUGUUGAACAUCCAUAAGACAGUUUAGUUCCUAUUAUCUGUCAAAUCAAAGCAAACCAGUGACUACAUUUCCCAGCCUGCACUGCAGCCUACAAACAUGGCCGCCAUGGACUGCAAUUCCCAGAAACACUCACAUUCAUUCUAAUCACGCACACCUGCAUCAAAUACACAGCACUCACAUCCACAGUAUAAAGGGACUGUUUGAACACUAUGACUUUGCAAAGUAUUGAGUGUUAUCACCGUACCAUGCGUUUGUAUUGUUUCAUGUUUGUUUUGUUUCAUGGUCGUUGAUCUUGUUUCUUCUUUCAUGUUCUCGAUUCUCGCCUUGCCUCGUUUAUGCCUGUUUGCAGAUUUCCUGACCCAUUACCUGUUUUUGACCACAAUAUUGUUUCAUGAUUUGGAUUUGUCUGCCUACAUCUCUUUAUUAAAAGCUCUUAUCUGCACUUGCAUCUGUCCUAACCUCCAUUACGUUAUUAACGUGACAUUAUCACUUAUCACUUAUGUUAUAGCAGCUAAACAGUUCCUCAGCAUCCUUUCUUUUACACUCUCUUCACAUUAGUAAGACAAAAAAAUGCAGCUUGUCGUCUUGCAGAGAAACCAGUAACUGCAAAAUCCUCUGCCCUGACUCCUUCCAUAAUUAUUCAAUAAACCUCUUCUUAAGGAUAUUUUUCUGUCAUUAAUUGUACAUUUUAUAUGUACAUUACUAUGUUUAAUGGGUAAUGACACUUAUUAUACACUCAUUUGUUUAUUAAUGUGGCACAUCAACCAUGCAAACCUGAGAUUUGAUUUACUACUGUCAGAGCAAUGCUGUUAUACAAAAUUAAUCAACAAUUGAACAGCACCAUGGUAUAAAAAUUAUUAUUCUGUAUGACUAUUUGUACAUGUUAAGGAUAAUGGGAAAGUACCGCAUUUGUCAUGAAAUGAGUUCUGUUAUGGAAGGGUGCUGUGUGUAUAUAUAUAUAUAUAUAUAUAUAUAUAUAUAUAUAUAUAUAUAUAUAUAUAUAUAUAUAUAUAUAUAUUUCAAUUCUUUAUUUCAUCCUCUAUGGAAUGUGACUGAAAGGCAGGUUUUAUCAUUCAAAAAUUGCUUAACUUUAAGAAGCAUGAGACUUUGCUAUUGUUCAGGCUCUAUUUAGAGGCAGUUCGUUGAAAUUUCCAAAAGGUAUUCCAGAGGCUUUUUUUUUUUAAACAACAUGCCUGAAUUGCUGAUAAUUGCUCCAAACGUAGAACAGCUGAUAGCAAAGCACCAGGGGAGCCCAGAGAUAUAUCAGUAGCUGUUAGCAGUCAAACAGUAAAUAGUUGAUGGCAAACGCCUGAUAGUCUGGCUCCUUUUAGAGUCUCACUUUAUCAGUCGCAAUUAGCGUGCCGAAGUAUAUUCUUGGGUGUACACAGGAACUGUUUUCCCUGCCAUCAAAAUCUAUUUGUGUCUCAAGGCAUGGGAUAGAUUGGGAUGAGUGACUGGAAAGUUUGAGUGUGUGUAUGGUGAUCUAUGAAUGCACACCCAAAGCUUCAUGUGAACAAGCAACCCUUGAGAGAAGAACUGUAGAAUGGUGACAGGGACAUGAAAAGACACUCCACAGAGAAUAAACUGCUAAGCCUCUAUUUUUUUAUUUUUAAUUUUUACAUUUUUUUUGCUAGCAAUUUAAGCCGCAUAUUCCCGGCUUAACCCUGGAAAGCUUAAAAUGUUCUUAAAGCAGUGUGAGAAUCAUAAUUAAAUGUUUCCCCUGACAUUUCUCAUGUAUUCACUUUUUUCCUAGGACUCUACAAUUAAUCAUAAUUUAAUGUCAAAUGGAUACGCUCCUUUGGCCGCUGUGCGUAAUUGAGCAUUACUCAGAUUCUCCAAAGGUCCUGGUAGGUGUGAAAGGAAGAUACACAUCACCGUGACUCUUGUGCACCUCUGUUUUGAAUCACGCUGCCAGAAAUCAGCCAUGCCCAGGUUGUAACCCUAUGAUUAAUUGCACCUCGCUGGAGACAUUACCGUGCGAGGAUAUUAAUAAUUCCAGGUUUGCUUCUUUUUAAGAUUAGUAACAGGCAGGGGAAAGAGAAGCAGCUCGGAGGUCGAAUCGGUUCCCACUUGCUUUUUUAUAGGGCUCCUUAUCUAGCCAGCAGCUGCUUUGUAGUUAUUUCAUGAAGAUUGCUGUGGUGGGCUUAACGGGGCUUAACCUCAAAUCACCUGUGAAGAAAGCUGAUUUUCAGCCAUGCAUUAAAAAAUAUGGCCAACAUACACCCCAGCAUUAAUGCAGCCUACUUUCCAACUCUUCUUUUUCAUGGAAUAAGGGGAUAUGAAGUAGAAAGAAAGAAAAUUCUGGUUCCAUGCCAACUUGGUUUCAUUCAUAAGAAUCCACACCAAAGUAACUAUUAAUACAAGCUCUGAAUGCAAGAUUAUAAUUAUUAUCAUAAUUUAUUUAUUUAUGUAUUUAUUUUUAAACCUUACUUGCUAUUAAUUUGGUGUGGAACCAACUUUGGGGUUAAUGUUGAUUAUAUUUGAGCAUUUUAAAACUUGUUUGAUGGGAUUACUUUUAUAGCAAUUUUGUGACUUUCCUACAGUCAAGUGAUUUACUGAUUUGGUUAUGCUCCUACUGAAACAGCUGUUACUAAUGACCCCCUGUAGGAGUGUAAUAACGCCUUCUGGUGCUCCGAGGCAAAUUCCCUCAUUUUCCUCAUCGUCUGUUGUUCAUCUUGAAGAAAAUCAAAGGAAAUGCACCACAAUUGGCCCCUGAGGGGAGUGGGAGGUCUGCAAGGUAAGGAACAAAACCUUCAAUCUUCAUGCUCCUGUUAUUGAAGCUGCUGCAUGCAGAAUUUUAGCCGCUCUUGAAAAGAGAAAGAGAAUCAUCUCAGUUAUGCAGGCUAAUUCAAGAUCGAGUUCAAAAGCUGUACAGAGUGGCAGAAGAGAGUGGCAUGUGACAGGUGCCACAGAAUAGAGAACCAGAGAAAUCCCAGCUCUUAAAAAAAAAUAAAAAAUUUAAAAAAAUAAAAAAUUAAGUGUGCUAAGAUGUGUACCAAAACAUCAUGACAAACUCUGCAAACAUCCAUUCAAAACACAAUUUUUUUAUUUAUAAAUAUUUAUUAGGGGUGUAAUGACAUCGUUUUAGUGUUUCAAAUAGCUGCAUCUGUAUUUGAAUUUAAAACCAAAUUGGGCGUGGCCUUUCCUGGAAGAGUGGUAUCAAGUAGCACUGGAAAAACUGUCUCCAUUGCCAUGUUUACAUUGUUUCCAUUGCCAUGUGCCUGUGUUUUGAUCCUGUCUCCACCCCUGUCCCAUCACUGGUCUGUUACCUAAUGUCUGCCCCUGUUCUGAGUUCAAUCCUUGAUUUUCCCAUUAGUUUGUUUUUAUAAACUGCCAUGUUCCUUUGUCUCAUUGCAAAGUCCUGUGCACUGCAGCUCAUACAUGCACUGUGCCGUGCAUUCCUGCAUUCCAUGUUCUUUGUUUCCAGUUUUACUUCCAUGUUUAGACCCAUACCUGAAUUACUGUUUGAUGAUGGAUAAUCCAUGAUAAUGAAUAUAUCUUUAAUUGCCCUGUCUGCCUGUAUCUUGCACCCUGCUAUAUUUCAUUACCCCAUGACUCCUGUAUUCCCCUCUAAUAUAAAUAACACAUCAAUUUUACACAUGUGUUCCAGGACACAGUACUGUCAGUACAAAAACAGAUUUGGUAAAAAGUAAUCACAAUAAUGGCCUUUUAUAAUGGCCCUUGGAGGUAAUCCUAGUCAUUUUACUUUGUUUAUUUGGUAGUUAAUUAGAAUGAGUCAAAUCCAUCCAUUCAUUUUCUGUACCGCUUAUCCUACACAGGGUGGCAGGGGAGUCUGGAAUCUAUCCUAGGGAGCUCUGGGCACAAUUGCAUGUGCAUUCACAAUAUGUAAACGCCAAUCAGCCUUCAAUGCAUGUCUUUGGACUAGAGAAGGAAACCAGAGUACUCGGAGGAAACACCUGAAGCACGGGGACAAUGUGCAAGCUCUGCACACACAGGGUAGAGGCGAGAAUUGAACCUCCAACCCAGGAGGUGUGAAGCAAACGUGCUAACCACUAAGCCAAAGUGCCUCCCAAUAAACAAGGCAAAAUUUUAAAAAAGAAUGAACCACGUUUAAAACUGAUCUUGUUUCAAAAUAUCUCAAGCUCGUGCAGUCAUAAUUUCUACCCGCCUUAGAUAUUUCCAUCCAUCCAUCCAUCUUCUACCACUUACUCCUUCUUCAGGGUCACAGGGGAACCUGGAGCCAAUCCCAGGGAGCAAUAUGGAGUUUGGUUGUGACCUUUAGUCUCAACCAGAUGUCCUAAAAUAAAAAGAAUAGUGCGCCUUCAAUUUAUCCCUUAUAUGUACCUAAAAUAUAUUAGCAUUCUGAACUGUACUUCUUAUUGACCUGUUUCACCCAGGUGACCUGACUGCAGCCAGUAAUAAGUAUAAUAAAGGAAAAGCACAUGAUGUACUAAGAAUCAUAUUAUUACCAACAUCUUAUAGAUGCUUUGAGGGUCAGUGACUUCACCAAUAAAUUGUGAGUCAUCCAGAUAAUGAGUAAGUGUAACUACCUCUCGAGACCAGAAAUUUACUUAAUGCUAAAAGUUCAGCAGCAUUAUUUUCCAGCUGAGAUGACAGCAAGAUUAUACUCUGACCUUGCUGAUGUCCCCAUGGCAGCAAUAAGCAACACUGCCAUUUGUACCUUUCACAACAAUCCCUUUCGGUUUUUUAUCUUUUUUUUUACUUUGAUUAUCGUCAUGCUCAGACCUGAAGAUAAUGGAAUGUGAACGCAAACUGUGGCAGAGAAUCAUUGUGUUUGUGUACUGCUGAAUCAAUGGGCUUUUUUCAUCCAGACUCAUGCAAACGCCUGCUCUCUCUGACAUUGAGAGCUGCCGGUGCAUGCAUCAGUAAGCCGGCCCUCUCUUGGUAAACACAAAUCUUAACAUGGCAUCGCUAGCUCUGCAAAUGCUCAGCUCUAUUGAUUUGCCAUUAGCGUCCAUCUCGCUGGAUUUUUAUUUUUGUAUUUUUCCAAAGCAAAUACUUGCGUGUUGACUUUAUGGCAACUGGUUCCACUUUAGGUGCAAUGUUUUGGAAUGGAGGAUGAGAUGGAAUGAGGAUAUCUGUGCAAACAAUAUCCAUAUUUCUAAUCAGAUCUGUAGGCUUGUAUUUGCAUAUUUGCUCAAACAAGUUACACAGUAAAAUGUCGAAGUGCAAAUUAGCUCUUACAAUGUGUGUCUAGUCAGCCCAGAGUUUUCUCAGAUGAUUUUAUAUAGGUGAAACAGGGUGCUAGUACUAAGCAGGUAUAAAACAGUAGUUAUCCUGAGAUUAAAUUUCAGGUCAGCGGUUAUCACAACACAUGACAUUUUGCAAAAUGUGUGAGAUCCACAAUAGGUCUCGGUUUACUUGAACACUCGUUGUACUGUUUGUGGGCCACCAAAUUCAUAAUUUUGCACCAAUGAACAGUUUGACACUAAUAUGGUUUUGGCCCGUGUCAGUCAACAGGUCAGUUUCCUAAGAAAAAAAUUACGACUUAUCUGAAUCUCCAUUCCAAUCCUUUCAAUCCACCUACAAGUGAUUCAGCCCCCAUCACAUAUACAGUGGUGCUUGAACGUUUGUGUAUUUUCUACAUUUCUGCAUAAAUAUGACAAAACGUCAUCAGAUGUUCACACAAGUCCUAAACGUAGACAAUAAGAACCCAAUUAAACAAAUGAGACAAAACUAUUACACUUGAUCAUUUAUUUAAUGAGAAAAAUGAUCCAAUAUUACAUAUCUGUGAGUGAUAAAAUUAUAUAAACUUUUGCUUUCCGUAUGUGGUGUGACCCCUUUGUGCAGCAAUAACUGCAACUAAACGUUUCUCCUAACUGUUCAGUCCUGCACAUUGGCUUGGAGGAAUUUUAGCACAUUCCUCAGUACAGAACAGCUUCAACUCUGGGAUGUGGGUGGGUUUCCUCACAUAAACUGCUUGCUUCAGGUCUUUCCACAACAUUGGAUUAAAUUAAGGUCAGGAAUUUGACUUGGCCAUUCCAAAACAUUAACUUUAUUCUCCUUUAACGAUUCUUUGGUAGAAUGACUUAUGUUAUUCAGUUCUUAGAUAGCUGUCCUGACAUUUUCCUUUAGAAUUUGAUGGUAUAAUUCAGAAUUCAGUGUUCCAUCAAUGAUGGCAAGUCAUCCAGGCCAAGAUGUAGCAAAACAGGCCCAAACCAUUAUACUAGCACCACCAUGUUUCACCAAUGGUAUAAGGUUCUUAUGUUGGAAUGCAGUGUUUUGCUUUCUCCAAAUAUAACAUUUCUCAUUCGAAAAAGUUCUAUUUGGUCUCAUCCUUCAAUAGGCUUCUGGCUUGUGUACAUGAUGUUUAGAAGGGCAGCAAUGUUCUUUUUGGGGAGCAGUGGUUUUCUUCUUGCAAACCUGCCAUGCCGUGUUCUUGUGAUGGUGGACUCAUGAACAUUAGACAACGUGAGAGAGUCCUUUAGAUGCUUAGAAGUUACCCUAGGUUCCUCUGUGACCUCACGGACUAUAACUCAUCUUGCUUUUGAAGUGAUCUUGGUUGGUUGACCACUUCUGGGGAGGGUAACAAUGGUCUUGUAUUGGUGGAGUCCAAACUCUUUAGAGAUGGUUUUGUAACCUUUUCCAGCCUGAUGAGCAUCAACAACUCUUUCAAACUCUCAAUCUCCUUUGUUCGUGCCAUGAUACACAAACAUGUGUUGUUAAGAUCUGACUUUGAUUUUAGAUUUUACACCCAGGUGAACACUUUGUGUUCAAGUGUAACCUUAAGCAGUAGUUCAACACUUACAAUUUUUUUAGAACUGUUGUAUUUUUUUCCACAUUUCAGAUUCUCUAUCACUCAAUAUGUAUGCUCUUAACAUUAUUCUUGAGGCAUGUUGACAUAAUAGUUAUGAAAUACUUCUGCCAACUAAUUGGCAGAUAUUUCAAAUAUCUGUUGGAGAUGAUUGGUGCUUUUGUUCUUCUUUAUAGUCAGCCGAGUACUGAGAGCAUUCAUUUUUGACUGGAGAGGCUUUAUGGUCUACACAACUCAUAAAAACAGUGGAGACGAACAGGGGAGUAACCAUACAGAGUUUAUUCUUGGAAAUCGAUAUCCAUGUGUGGGUUUGUUGUCUGGGUCAGAAGUACAGCUCUGUUAAAUGUUUAUGUUAUAUGAAGUUGUUUGCUCAUUAUUGGUCAGGUUAUACCAAUUUACACCUUUGCACCACAUUUUGAUCCACAGAAGAAAAAACAGUCUGAGGAGGAAAACUAAGGAUAAUUCUUAGUUAGGGUUGCCAGUGGGUAACUCCUCCUGUUGGCUAAACAUUCACUCCAGACUUGUCAAAGCAAGGCGUUAGAUUUGGACAGCAGUCUGCUUGGCUCCGAAGUGACACCAUCGGAUUUAAGGCUCAACUCAUUCUUCCUCUAGGAGAUGUACGUACUUCUCUCUCUGAGCUUACAGUGCAUUUUGUCCAGCUAGGGAAUUUACUGCCGAGUGCUCCACUGUGCAACAAGCAUUAAAGAAGUAGCCCAGACAAGUGCUGAUUUGUAGGACUUGCUAGACAGACCGUAUUGUUCAGAAAAAAUAAUGAACUGGGGGAAAGGGAGGAGAGGCAUUUGCUUGGGCGCAGCGACACAAUCGGGAACUGUGACAUAAAAGGCCAGGGAAGUGCAGACCUGUCAGCACAUCUAAAUAACAAUAACCACCCAAUAGUGGUUUGGACCUGGUGGCAUUCAGCCAAUCUCUUCUCACUUUGCAAUUACAAAGAGCUCCAGGCUCCAGGUAAUCACCACUGAUCUCCGUCAGCCUGGCCAAACGUCAUCAAUUCAGUUUGGGAAGACUCUUAGGGCUGUAGGAGAAGAAAGACUGGAAUGUUGGAACCCUUCACUUUUUUUUUGUUCCUCUGUCCUAUGCUUUUGGAGAUUGCAGACAUGGGUGCCAACUUAGUUUAGAUAACUGUGAGUGAGUCAUGGAAGAGGUAGCAUUGGUACCUCUGAGAUCCGAAACAUGGUCCACCAUUUGACAACCCCAGAUCUAUGGUGUGGAUUUUUUCCCCCCAUCCCCCCCCCCAGCUUGAUCACCUGCCAAUUCCCUCCAAUAGCCAGCUCUCGCUUAUCCUAUGACAGCUACCAACCAGGGAUAGUUAGAGGUAAUACGUGCGUCUUCUGAAACGCUUGAAGCCACCCAACUGCAUAAUUUUUUAGAAUUGCUGCUCAUGUUACACCACAGGACUGCGUAACACACUUAAAGUUAAGUGCUGUCUGCCCUUGUCCACAUACAUGAGCUCACAGACACCCAAAUUUGGCUAGUGUCACUGCGAUUGACAAUGGAGACACAGUUUGCUAUUCGUCCCUCCCAGAUGGCAUAGCCAAUUUUGAUCCCAUGGCUCUUGGCCAUGGGUGGCUGUGAGAGUCAAACUGGCGAUCUCCCAACAAUAUGUGCUUUUGAUCUGGAAAUGCUUUCUUUUUCUUUUUCAAGGACUGCAAUUGUGAAACUAAGCAAGAUUUAGUUUUUGUCUAUUUCAACUCUUGUGUGCAAGAUAUAUUUAAAAACACACAUUUUGUGUGAGCUUGAAUAAAUGAAUGGCCUUGUCGUUUAUGCCCCAUGACAUAUAACCUGACGUUCCAUAAUGGAAUUCUGCAAUUGCUGCUAGUGCUUUUUCCACUCAAAAGCAACAUAAAACUCCUAACAGCCGAAAGUUAACUGUAGCAGUUCACAAAACUGCAUAUUGCACACGAUAUUUUUGAAACUUCAUUAAUUUCACUGACAAUCCUGGAGGUGAAAUUGCAUCAGUUUCCCUAUAGGCAUUAAUUUGUAUUCUUAUUGCAGUGUGCCCAGCUGGCGAACAAACUCCAUAGUUCAGCUGAAAGUAGCUCCAAGGACACAUGCUUCUAAGGCGACUACAAGCCAAUUAUUCUCAUUUCAUAUGUAAACAUAAUAAAUAGCCACAUGAAGCACAAAGUGCUAAGUGUCCAGCUUCUUGAGUUGAAAGUUUACUCCACAGCAUGUGAGGAGAACUAGCUCUUUCUGAAGACAACCAAUUAUUGUGCUAAGCUAAGCAAUUUCCCUCCCUAUCUUCAGAACACACACAUAGAGUAAAUGUAGUCUUGAUGAAUUAACUCUUGGUCAAUAAAAAAAGAAGAGAUUAAUUGCUCAAAUGUUAAAUUAGGCCUGUACGCGCUUCUUGAACGCUUGCAGGAAGGGUGUGGGGGGUAAAAAGACUUUAUGGAAAAAGUAAUUGUCAAUAAUUGUCCAUUUUAUUAUUCAUAAUAUACAGUGUGUGCAGGGGCUCAUGGAUAGAAGAAAAAACAGAUAAGGGCAUAAUAAAUUAACUCAUGUUUAAAGAAAAAUCUGAGAUUUAAUAGAAAAUGAAAAGCCCCUCUUUUUUUUUUUUUUUUUUAAACAGAUCAUGCACAUGUUCUCAGCUGGAUAAAAUCCAUUAUUGUUGUUCUAACGUUUUCACACUAAGAUUUCUCUGUCUUUACACAGUUGGCUUGACCCUCUGUGAAAGUCAAUGCACUUUUUGCACUAAUAUAGUGCCAUCUCCAUUCCCACCAAUUAUGUUCAUAAUGAAAACCUGGAGCCCUUCUUCAACUGAUGGCAUGCAUGCAAGAUAAGUGUAGGAGAUUAUAUGUUGCCUAGUAACUUGCCCUGUAUUUAACCCUUUCUUCGCUGCAUGCCUUUUCUCUGUUGAAAGUGCAGUUAUUUGUGGGGUCACGCAUUUAGCAGAGCAAAUGAUUUCGAGACUUUAGUUUCAUUCAAUUAAGUCUCUUGGCCACAAACUUCAGCGUGCAGGCUGUAUUAUUGAUUUGCAUGAUGCAUUGAGGGUGCAAGAGGUAAUGGACCAGGGAAGCUUAAAGAAUCAGUAUUGAACUGUGCAGGGAAAAUAGAAAAAGCGUGAUCCUCCUCAGUAAUGGCAUAAAUAAGAGAUCAGGCAAGAUAUACCAAAUAGAACAGAAAUGAUUUGGCUUAGGAAGGCUGUGGAUUGAGAUUAUGUCUGUAUCAUUGUAGAAAUUUCAUUCUACUUCCACUUUUGUCAUAUCUAUAAUUACCUGUCAAGAUCUUUCCCAAUCUGUUAAGUAAGGAAUACAAAAACAAUGGAGUGGUGUGAUGUGGCCCAAUCUCUGACCAAGCGUUGAUACAGGAGACACUUUCCAAAAAUGGUAAAUAAACAUAUGUUUACAGAAAACGUCACUAUAUCAGUGAUUACAUGCAUUUUAAAAAAUAUGUUUGUUAUCAUUUACUAUAGAAAUGAUAAGGAACGUAUUAGCUUGUCAGAGCUGCUGUUAUAGAAAAUUAAUUGACACCAUCUGACCAAUCAUAAUUGAGAAUUCAAAAUUUCUGUGACUUAAAUGGCAAUAACAAAAGUGUCUAAAAAACCACAUUUUAUAUUAUGACAAAUGCCUCUGUUUACACUGUUCACACUAUGUUUUCAAAUUUCAUAGACCCAUUGUGGAAAGAUAAUCAAUAACUUUAUAUUACAUAAUAUAAUAUAUGACACAGCCCUACCUUUCCUAGAUUUCAGAUACUUCUAGAUUGAAAUAACAAGAAGGAAACACACAACAGCACAGUCUGGGUCUCUGGAGGUUAAUACAGAUAGCCACUGCUUUUCAUCGCAUAGUAUCAACAAAUAUAAUAAUUAACCAACAUCUGACAAUCAUGAUACAGCAAAGUGCAUCCAGUGUCAAACUAAUAAAAAUUAUUGACCUAACAUUUACCCUGUGUUGUUACUUGUGACAUGAAUCUCCAUUUCUUAUUGCUCGUGUGUGCAGUAAAACGGUCAAUGCCAGCUGGCUAUGUGCAGGCUUCAGAUGUCUUAUAUAAUUAUUACUCUCUAAUAACGAUUUCUGGAGCCUUGUUCAUCCGGAACUUGUUUACCAGACGCUCUUCAGUCUAUGUGAGCUUGAUGCUCUCGCUUUCAGUGCUUUGCGUCAUGCUCUGGCCUCAGAGCUCUAAUGCGUCUCUAGACGGAGCUGAUCCAUCCUACAGCAUUAGCAGCCGAGUAAUAAGCCCUCUCCCUGCGAGAAGCCCCAUGAUCUGCGAAACUGAUCAGAAAGGUGAUGUGAUCAAGCAACACGCCACAUGGUGGAAAUGUCCUCUGGAGAGAUAGUGUGGUUUAAGAUAGAAAAGGGUAGUUUUCCUUUUAAUAUCCCUAGCUGAUUGCUGAAUACUGUAGACUGGAAAUGCUGAUGAUACUUCAGUGAAAAUGAGGGGAAAUGGUGGAAUUGGAAAUUAUUGGGUAAACUGAUUUGAAUGGUUCAAUUUGGCUGCAAUAUUUCAUUUUGUUUUUUGUUCAUUUGGAAGCAUAAAAAGGCAAAUUCAUGUAAAUAAUGAUGAAAUAUUAUCCAUGUCUACCGGUGUAUUCCCUACUGAAAGAUUAUGAUUAUACUGUCAUGUCCACAUGGUUCUACUUGUAUACUUGUGUGGUAGCUAAGCUCAACAUUGUUCUUGACAUUGCUUUUAGUGCCAGGAACUCCCAUAAAUGGUUCACUGCAGCCAAUUUACUUACUGUUUACUUUAUGGCUCAUUUAACUCACAGCAAACGCCAAAGCCUCCCAGGAGGAUUUCUUCUCCUCUUUUCAAAAGGCAGAAGGAUCGUAUAGCAAUGCCGAGCUGCAAGGACGCCUCUAUUGCAACCCCGCUCCGAUGCACAGGAGCAGUAAUUUUCUGUGGUCAAUAAUGAGUCAUCCUGAUAUAAAGCUCGAUGCUGAUAAUUCUCAGCGAGAGGCGACGGCACUUUCUCUGGCUGAAAUUACUUUGGACUACCUCCAUGGCCUCUGGCCUCAGGGACUGCACUUUUAAACUUGUUUUGCUUCUGUAGUUCCUCAUGGCCCAACUUUGCCUUUCUGUGUCUUUUGGCAGGCAGGAGCAGUUUGUUUUGAGGUAAACAAGGCUCAUUGUGAAAGAAUGAGAGCUCAGCAAGUUGAGACUGUCUUGGAAUCCAGGAUCAUGAACCGUCUGUAGUGGAAGAUGGUCGCAGGUGGCCUCAGGUGAUCCCGGGAUUCCAUUGGGUAGACAGAAAGUAGUGCUUUCAGGGCUGGGUUGAUAAAGGAGCCUCUAGCACAAAAGAUCAGUGACAGGAAUUCGCAUGUCACCCAUUCACUGGCUGUAGUGACCAAUCCUUUUCCCCAGAGGACACUAAAUGGAGAAAGAUUGCAUAAGGCUGAUGGAGGGGUCAGUGGGAUUCUUGGCAACUUUCCCACAGCCUGAGGUGAAAGAGGUGAGGGAGGACUCUGAUGCUUCCACAUGGCUGUUUACAUUGUGAAUGACACUAAUGAAUCUGAAUGCAGAUUUAGAAAGAUCACAGGGGACAUGACGUAGGUGGAGCUCUUGAGUGCCUGGGUCUUGUAAUUGCCCAGUGCUUUAUCCAUGCAACGCUUAGUCAAAGGUCUCUAACCCUUCUGUUGUACUUGGGUUGAAAUGAUUCAUUCAUUCAUUUAUACUAACCACUUAAUCCUGGUCAGAGCCACAGUGAGUCUAAGGCCUAUCCUGGGAACAGUGGGUACAAGGUGUGAAUGCACCCUGGAUGGGAUGCCAGUCUAUUACAGGGCACCAUGCGCACAUUAAUUCACACCUAGGGUAAUCAGACCUUCAGAGUCACCAAUUCACCUGCUAGCAUGUUUUUUGAAGGUGGGAGGAAACUGGACAACCCAGAGGGAACCCAGACAGACAUAGGGAGAACAUGGACAUUCCACAUUUACAAUAUAAGGUAAGGUGGUAACAAUCCCGCCGUGAUCCAACACUACCAACCAUGAUCUGUUGUCUUCAUUAAGCACUUUAUCCUGGUCAGUGUCACAGUGAGUCCAGUGUCUAUCCCAGGAAGGUGGGAACACACCCUGGAAUUCAGGCUUGGGGAGUAACAGAAUACAUGUAACAGCCUUACGUGAUCAGGGUACAAAAAACUCGUAACUAUAAUCCGUUACACCAGUUACAUCAAAAAACAAAGUAAUCAGAUUACACGUACAUUUAGUAAAAAAAGGGAAUAGUAUCAAGAUCACAAUUUUUAAUUAAUCUUUUGACAAAACACAAUGUAGACAGCUGCUUGAUUAUAGUUCUGGUUCUCUCUUGCCAGUUGUGACUCACAUAAGCAACCUGCUGGUGCAUGCAUAAAUAAAUUGUGUGAGUUAAUUUGGUAGAAAUGAACACAAUUUGUUCUCUGAAAUGUUUUUGUUAGGGUGACCAAACGUACUUUUUUGCUUCUGUUGUGUAGGAGCUUUUAUAUGCUCGUUUUCUGCUUUCGGUGCUGUUACCUUUAAGUAUGUAAAAGCUAUGCUCCUAAAAUUUAUGUGCAGCUAGAUUAACCGUGCUUUCAGGAAGAUCGGCUGUGUACGUUGUGUAAGCAAACUGUUACUUGACGAUUGCUUCCAUUGUAGGUCUUGUUCUGCCACGUUUCAAGGUUGAGGCGGAAGCAAUUGCAGAUAUACAACGUUUUAUUUAAACAAACAAACAACAAAACAAAGACACUAAGACAGCUUGGCAAAAUACUGUGGCAAGAAACAAAACACGGUAACAUGGAACACAGUAGUCUAAGACAAACAUAAGACCGAAAAGCAGUGCAAAAAGUUGCUAAAUAUAGGAGUGCUCGUUAACAGAAACGUGAUUCAGGUGCAGGUAGUCAUGUGACAUAUUGUAGUACAGUGCAGUGGCAGUGGGGACUGAAGUCCAGAGUUACCUCCUUGACAUAUGACAGUUACUUUCAUAUUGUGAUACUUGAAUUAUGUUACUGAUUGCAUUUUUAUGAAGUAAUUUGUAACUGUAACUGAAUACAUUUAUAAAGUAACCCUCCCAACCCUGCUGGAAUGGGAUACCAGUUUGGACAUUCAUUUAUACAUAGGGACAGUUUUGAGUAGCCAGUAUGCCUUCUGGCAGGUUUUUAGGAGGUGGGAGAAAACCACAGAACCAAGAGGAAAUGCACACAUACAUGAAGAAAACAUGGAAAUACCAAAUAGAUAGAAAUGCGAACUCAGGAUCAAAGACUGGACCCUGGAGCUGUGAGGUGGCAACACUACUUGGAGAUGGUGCAUAACCAUUCUGGCCUGGUUGAAAGGCACUACAAAAAUAUUCUCCAUCAUGACACUGGCUUCAUGCGUGGUUUAAUUUCUCUCAGUUUCUUUAUUUUGUUUUAAGACGAGGGUUAAACAAGCAUUGCGAUUGACUGGGUUUUACAAAUACAAAUACGAAAGGUGAUUUUAGUUAUACUUGUGCUUUUCCUUCAUCCAUGCAUGUCUCUGGCCAGUCCAGAUGUUCACUAACUGGCACAUUAUGGCGAUGAAUGACAUCAUAGUCCUGUCAGCCCUGCACCUGAGGAUGUCUAUUCUUUUAGUGUCUGUUCAGGGAGCAAUGUGAUGAUAGAUACGAGGUAGAUGAGGUGUGUGUAUGUGUGUGUGUGUGUGUGUGUGUGUGUGUGUGUGUGUGUGUGUGUGUGUGUUUGUGUUUGCAUGAGGUAGUGUGUGUUACAGAAGUAAUCAGGCAGAUUAGUGGCCAUUGUUUGCCUGCUGUUUGCCCACCUGCUUCCUGGGCUGCUUUUCAAUAUCCAUCUCAGUCGGUGCUGCCUGACUUUUACAACUUCUCAAAGUACUGGUUUAUAUUUGCAACUUUAAGCAUGCUAGCACUAACCUAGUCUCUGUCACUGUCUCUGCUCCACCCACAUCCCACAACCCACAGCAUGUCUGAAACCUUUUUACACUCUGUUGGUCACAAGUUUUACAACCUUGAGGGUUGCAUUUGCAACUAAUUGGCUAUAUGUACAUCUGUGCAGUGCAUUCCGACAAAUCUUUAAGCAUCCAGACAAAAUGAGUGUUUUGGAGCAAGACAUAGCCACUAGAUUGAAAAAAAAGCAGCUGGUACAAUGUAUUAGAAAAUUAUUUUGAAACAGUUAGUUGUGAGUAGAGAAGGUCACUUAAACAACACUUUUUAGUGAAAGUAUGUUGGUGAUUCAUCGAUUGGGGAGCCAUUUAGACCUUCACCAUUCAAAAAAUAUAUUAACCCAUCAUAGGCAACAAAGUUUUUUUGAAUAAAUUUAUUUAAAUAUAAAAGAUGGCUGCAUUUUCCUCUUAUAUCUAUAACACUUUUAGUGAAUCACUUACUUUCAGUCUAUAAUUUUGAUAACAAGGCUGUACUUCAGUAUCAAAAUGUCACUGAAAAUAAAGAAAAAGUAAUGAGCGAACAUAAUUUUCUUCUACCCAUGAUCCUCAGGAAAUUCAAAUGAUGUAAUAUUCAACAUAGAAUAUUCCACAUAUUUCAUAGGGGUUAAUGUGUUCAGCAGCGUUGUGUGAAUGGUGUGGGAGACUAAAAUGGGAAUUUUUUUUUUACAAGCUAUAAUGGACGACUCAUGGAAAAUGAUGUUUCAAGCAUGCAAUAUUAAAUGGAUUCACACGCUAAUGCAAAAAUAGUAAUAAAUAAAUAAAUGCAGUAUUUUAGGGAUUAUAUUUCAAGGUAAAGUGUAGUUAUAGUGGGCUGAAACCUGGCAAAAUGAUUUAUCUGGAACCAGCACAUAGAUUGUCACUUUACCUGUGUUUAAAAAGUCUUCCACUUUUUCUUUACAUAUAUAAUUGUAAAUGUAAUAUCAGUGGGACACAAAUGUCACCCCAAUAGUGGAAUCACCCAUGAAGACUCUGCCUAUGUUCAUAUUUACAUUUGUAUUUGUUUAAAAAGCAUUAUCUGUUCAAGCCGAAUAAUGUAUUUGUAUAGGGGUUACAAGCCUAGCACAUACCCAUGCUCAAUUCGGGUAAACAUACAGCAUGUAGCACAUGACAACAGUCAUGAUUUCUUGGUCAAGAAACCUUGAAACCUCUCAGUGAGUCACCAGAGGUUCAGGUGACACAACAUCACUGGAGAAAAACAGCAAAGUAUCAAACCUUCUUCCUCAAAAUUAUUAUUCUUCCAUUUAUUCCCCAUCUUUUUUUUUUUUAAUAUUGCCUCAGCGCAAUUUUCAUCAUAUGUUCAAGUGCAUCACUUGACCACUAACCAAACUUAUCAGCUAUUCACAAACACGUUGUAUAUAUGGUGUUGAAUUGAAAGAUUGUUUUUUUUUUCAACAUUGGAUUAUUUCAAAAUUAUUUGCUGUAUCUGUAGAAAUGUAUUUAUUUAUCCAUCCAUUUUCCAUACUACUUCUCCUACACAGCAUCACAGGGGAGCCUGGAGCCUAUCCCAGAGAACUCGGGGCACAAGGCGAGGGAUACCUUGGAGCGGGUGCCAACCCAUCACACACACAUUCAAAAACUACGGACAAUUUGGAAAUGCCAAUCGGUCUACAAUGCAUGUAUUUGGGCUGGGUGAGGAAACCGGAGUAACCAGAGGAAACCCUGUAGCAUAGGGAGAACAUGCAAGAUCUACACACACAAGGCAGCGACGGGAUUCAAACCCCCAAUUCCGGAAGUGUAAAGACACUGUGCUUAUUUAUUGAUUUAUUUAUUUAUUUUACAAUAUGUAUUUAUAGGAAAUUUAAUGCAAUAUUAGACUUUUAUUCCACGGCACUUUAUUAUUUUUGAAUAACACCACAGACCAGAAAUUAGUUCCACUUGUAACAUAAACACUGGGUUUAUAUUAAUGGUAUAAUUCUAAUGCAUUAUUGUUUCUGUAAUGCUCCACAUAAUCUAAGGCUAGUUUUGGUUGAAGGUGCUGUGUAACUUGGGGGGGGGGUACUGAUGGUAGUGUCACUCCGCUGGCAUAUUGGGCUGCAUCACACCCCUCUACCCUGCUUGGAUUGCUUGUGUAUAACAGUAUGGUCUGUCAUGUGUUAUUCCUUACAUAUUAUAACUUUAAAGUCUCAUUGUUGCCUAUAAACUCAAGUAUCCAGGAUUUAGUUCUGAACUUCAAUUCAUUUCAGUGUUACUCUGAGUUUCCAUGGGGGGUUUACUCUGGGUUCUCUGGUUUCCUCCCAUGUCUUAAAAACACGGCAAAAGGUUGACUGCACUAGCAUCCCGUCCAGGUUGAAUUCCUGCUUUACACCCAGUGUUCCUGGGAUAGGCUCCGGAUCCACCGUAACCAUGAUCAGAAUAAAGUGGCUAGUGAAGAAUGUAUGAAUUAAUGUUUUCCCAGUUAGAUUCUUGUCUUAGUCUCUUAAGUAGUAUAAGCUUGCUUUUGCUUAAAAAAAUCUGAAGCUUUGAAGCUCAAUUUAGGUUUAAUAUUAGACUCAAAUUAUGCCACUCAUAUAUAAUAUAUGAUAAUAAAUAUGCAUAAUUAACAUGGUCUCCUACUGUUUAAUGUCUCUCAUUGCCUAUAGACUGCUCUUGAUUUGUCAAAAUGCUUAGUGCUCUAGGAUCUCAAUUGAUUCAAAAUGUUGCACGUGAUCGGCUACCCACAGAGAUAUGACAAAUAUGUUAAUACCUGUGCUGUGUAUGACUUCCUGAUGCAACACAAAGAAAGGAGGGAAUAGAAAACCACCUACCUCAAUAUACUGUGAUUAAUAUGUUGUAAAUAAAAAAUAAAAUAAAAUAAAGACACAUCAGGGUAUAGAAUGGAAUAGUCAAGGUUUCAGGGUGUUUCUGUUUCAUUUCAGGCUUUCAUAUUCAUAAACAGCUGCUAUUAUGAAAUGGUAAAGUAUAAGUGUAUAAUGUUGUUGUUUGAAAUUGGACAUACACUACUGGUAUACUUAAAUUGCCAAAAACUUAUUUCUAAGUACAGUGCAUCUUUCAAAGAACAAAAAUACAGACUUUAUGCCUAUGUAUGUUUGUUUUUUAGACAAGUAUUUACUUUACAUGAGUAUUUUUAAAUUUAAUGAAUCUUGUUUAAAAAUGGGAUGAUAUACUAUAUAUAUAUAUAUAUAUA
ensembl:lncRNA